CCAUCCCGCCCCUUAUCCGCUCUACGGGCUACUACGCUCUUCUUGUCCGUCUCGCUUUCCUCGCUACCCACAUCCGACCCUUCCGCACAGGAUUCUGGCAGCCCCAAAAUGGCGUUUCAAUCCUCAUCGCCCGCCGCCGCUCGGUCUCGACUGUCGCCUUCUUCUUUCCUCCUCUCCCAGCGAGCAGGAAAGAGUCGCUCUGGAUUCCUUUGUCUCUCACCAAAUGUAGUUUGUUGGAGCUCUACUGCAAACUAUGUGCUACUGCAAGAGGGAUCAACUGCAUUCUUUCUAAAGCCCUUGGAUACUAGAAACAGAAAAAAGAGACCAGGAUUCUUGAGAUGUGCAACCAUUGAAGAAAUUGAGGCAGAGAAGUCCUUGAUUGAGAGGGAUGUGAAAGAAAGGAUGGAAAAGACCAUUGAAACUGUUCGAGGUAGUUUUAAUGCAGUGAGGACUGGGCGAGCAAACCCAGCUAUGCUCGAUAGAAUUGAGGUUGAAUAUUAUGGAAGUCCAGUAAGCUUAAAGAGCAUCGCACAGAUCAGCACUCCAGAUGGAAGUUCCCUUCUUGUUCAGCCAUACGACAAGUCUUGUCUCAAAGCCAUUGAAAAGGCGAUUGUUAACUCUGAUAUUGGUUUAACACCAAACAAUGAUGGAGAAGUAAUAAGAUUGAGCAUCCCACAACUGACAUCUGAGCGAAGAAAGGAGUUAUCAAAAGUUGUUGCUAAACUAGCUGAGGAAGGAAAGGUUGCCAUAAGAAACAUAAGGAGAGAUGCAAUUAAAGCCUAUGAGAAACUUGAGAAGGAAAAGAAGCUUUCUGAAGAUAAUGUCAAAGAUUUAUCAAGUGAUCUGCAGAAAGUGACCGAUGAGUACAUGAAAAAGAUUGACUCUAUGCAAAAACAGAAGGAAAAGGAGUUGCUGACUGUGUAGCUCUAAUAGUGUGCGUCGCUUCAACUGGUGGUUUAAGAUUCUGCAGUUCUUUUAUCUGAGCAUAUCAGCUGGUUAUUGCUGGAUGGUUCUUGGUUAGAGCAGGCUGGGACCAGAAGAGUAUUUUACCAUUUCAUGGAAGAAUAUUGAAAAUUUUAUUGCAUUCUCCAUUUUGAUGAAACAGUGAAACACUAGCAGAUUUUCUUGAAGUUAUGCCAAGUUAAAAGUGAGGUAAUUCAUUGGGGCUUCUCACCGCAUCCGCCAAAAACUAUAUCGUCUUAUAAUUCUUCAUCUGGGAUACGAAGAUUAUUACUCGGAUAGUUUUCUAUCACGUCCCAGUGCGGAAGUCCCAGGUGAACUUUUAGUACAUCCACUGCACGAAGGUUUUACAGAUUUUAUAUUUAUAAAGUACAAUAUCGAAUGAUAAUCAUAGUAGAUCAACAUCUAAAAGUAGACUUGAAUUUGAAAACAUUAAUUUUACUUACUUUUUAUAGAUUUUAACAUAACAUUUUAAAUCACAAUACAUGCUUUAUUGCAAAUGUGUUUGCCCAAGAGCUGCAGUGCAACACCAAAAUUGAUUUUUGGGCUACUACCCAGUCGAUCUUCGCAGGAUGGUCAAUAGUAAUAAGGAUAUAGAAAAGCUAAGAAGGGUGGCUUUUCUUGUGAUGAUAAUCUUUUUAAAAUGAAAAACUUGGCGCAGAGAAUAAUUCAUUUGUGGUUUCUAUCAUCAGCACAAGGCUUCAUCAGCUUUAUCAUUGUCUAAUCUCCACUUCCACUUGUGAGCUGUGAGUAUUAAUUUGAGCAGAGUUAUAUUUGAUUC